AGCUAACCUUGAGUGUGUCCAGAAUCACAUACUGAUGUAUGCCAGUAAGCUUUCAGCAUUCAUCCCACCAGCCUUUGAGGCCCGAACCCUGCCCGCAGCCCUUGACUACAACUACCAUAAGGACUGAUGACACUUGAUGGAAGCAAACAUGAAUGGAGACACUGCAGCUCCACCGACGCCAGGAAGCAGACCAAACUAUAUUCGCCGCUACUAGAGUAAACAGAUUCAAAUCUACCCCAGCGUGCCCCUGGAGAGAUCUGAGGACCUGUAUUUUCAAAGAAGACUCA